GACUGUACAUGGUUCUCUGGGGGAAAAGUGAAGAGACAAAGGUUGCAGCAGUAGAUGUUGAGGAGAACAAACAGCCAUUAGUAACUUCCUUUAACAAGUGACUAGUGAAUGGAGGUUGAAAUGAACCAGAUGAUAAUGCAUUAGUGAAGAAAUUGAGAUGUGGAAUGCUGACACAGACUGGAGAUUUUGAUGAUUCUAGAGUUGAAAUUCUUAGCUUCCACAAUUAAUGAUUCGUUACACUAGUACAUCACUACCUGUAACAUCACCAAGUUUUCUUUUUGGACGUCUCUGUAAUCCCGUUAGAAUUUGGCAGUACAAACAAAUGUAAUCCAAAAUCCAAUAAUCACAAACCAUAGUAAGAAGAACAUAGUAUGGCUUGUUGUUUUACUAAUUCUGUUAAGAAGAAGUCUUGGCGGGAAAAGAAGUAAAUUGACAUGCUGGUUCUAUACAAUAUUUUUUGAACAAAUGUUAUUUUUACUAUAAUUUAC
rnacentral:lncRNA from 1 species